rnacentral:rRNA from 1 species
UGGGGAAUAUUGGACAAUGGACCAAGAGUCUGAUCCAGCAAUUCUGUGUGCACGAUGAAGUUUUUCGGAAUGUAAAGUGCUUUCAGUUGGGAAGAAAAAAAUGACGGUACCAACAGAAGAAGUGACGGCUAAAUACGUGCCAGCAGCCGCGGUAAUACGUAUGUCACGAGCGUUAUCCGGAUUUAUUGGGCAUAAAGCGCGUCUAGGUGGUUAUAUAAGUCUGAUGUGAAAAUGCAGGGCUCAACUCUGUAUUGCGUUGGAAACUGUAUAACUAGAGUACUGGAGAGGUAAGCGGAACUACAAGUGUAGAGGUGAAAUUCGUAGAUAUUUGUAGGAAUGCCGAUGGGGAAGCCAGCUUACUGGACAGAUACUGACGCUGAAGCGCGAAAGCGUGGGUAGCAAACAGGAUUAGAUACCCUGGUAGUCCACGCCGUAACGAUGAUUACUAGGUGUUGGGGGUCAAACCUCAGCGCCCAAGCAAAUGCGAUAAGUAAUCCGCCUGGGGAGUACGUACGCAAGUAUG